ensembl:lncRNA
UCUAUCUGUGCUAUAUCUCGAAUCUUGUAGAUACUUAGAAAGUGUUCAUUAAAUUUGAACAUUGGUCAAGAAAAGCUUCAAAGAGCAUACUGUAAUUUUUUUCUCAGUGAAAGCAAUGAAAUUCAAUCUUAAUAUUUGAGUUUUCAGCCCUCCUACACUGAGGACCACGAAGAAGGACCCAUACACAUUAACCAUGAGCAACUUCACAAAUAGUAGGAAACCCACUGCUACCAAUACUCAGCCAACAUCAAACUUGAAUUGUAUUCUUACAAAAACAAGCUUUUGUAAAAGCACUGUCCUGUGUUCUGAAAGUUUAAUGGCCUUAGACCACAAAUGUUAAGGUUCUGACCUGACUGUACAUUGCUUAAUUAUAGUGAAAUCCCAAACCUAGUGCUCCAACUUUUCCUCUAUGUGCCUCAUUUUUGGUCCUGUCCAACUUGAUUAAUGUUGUGGUAAUGACUGCCUUCUAGUGGUGAGUUUUAUGCACAGCUAGCAAGUAGAAAAAUCAAUGUCUGCCAGUGUGGAUUCCUCUGCAAUCAUUUCAGGUUUAAUCGAUGUAGUCACUGCUUUGCCAUCUCUCUGGUCUUUGCUUCAACAGUUUCUCCACCCUCCCCACUUCGUGCAAUUAAUUGUUCUAGUGAAUUAUGCUGCUGGAUGACUUAUUAUUUGAGCCCUGGAAUGAUGGUAUGUUUAAUUCACUUCACUAUACCAAUAGGAGGCAGGCCAAGCCCCAUUUGGUCAUUGUUUAGGUCCUGAUUGACUCAGAUUGAAUAUAAAUAGCAAUCAUUUCUGCUUUGGGCACAGACUCUGAGGAUCUUCCCCUCCCAGAUUUAUUUAUUUGGAUUUUUUCUUUUAUUUUGAAAGAGGAGAUUGUUUGUCCUAAUUGCUCCCUAGCCUUAAUCAGUGAAUGAUUGCUGCCUCGGCCAAGAUUUCUUAUUUCAUCCAGGGCCAUCUCCAGGUAUCCUGUUCUGUAUCUGGCCACUGGACCCAGAAGGUUCUGGAUGGGAAAAUAAGGCCUUCCACAGCCUUCCCUCUCUUAAAUCCAACUCACUUGAUAUUAUGGCAUCAGCUCUCUGUUGCCAUGGUUUUUUGAAGAACAAAGGACAAACAACAGUAAUAUUUCAGAUCACUUUAGAGUAAUCUAAGUUCCAUCCAUCUAUUCCUUUAAAGCACAGGCUUUAAAUCCCCCAUACUUAGGAAACUUUUCCUCUCUCUUAGAAUACUUGGCUUUCUUCAAAACUCAACUCAAAUGACACCUUUUGUAGAAAGACUUUCCCCAUUAAUCUCCCCUCAAAAAACUGCUGGUACCUCCCUAACUUUUCGUAUUUAGUUUGGAUUAUAGAUGUAUAUGUUUUCACUGAUAGAAUGGGAGUGGUUUUUUGUCUUUAUUAUUCUGGGACCUCGUAUAGUGCUCCUAACCUAUGUUGUUUAUCUUUUCAUGGAGGACCAUGACAUUAGGGAGGCAAUGCCCUGACAAGCAAGUGAAUGGGAUUUAAGGGAGGAGGACUCACCAGCCUCACUUUCUCCUCAGAGGCAUCUGGAUCCACUGGUAACAAAACUGGAGAGGGCCCUCCGUUAGCCUAUAGGAGUCACUCAAAUUCAUAUUGAUCUGUGUAUAUUUUUGUUAAUUAAAUGCCUUCUUGAAGGUAGUCCUUAUGCCAUGUUUAGAUACAAUUCUUUGGAAAUGUCUAAGUUGAUAGUAAUAAAAAAUAUGUAAAAAAAAUUGUGGC